AAUCAGGCUGUGGGACCCGACGCAAUUGCAAUAGGUCUCUUCCCCCGCCUCACUUCGUUUCGACUCGGGCUUCUCCUUCCACUGCUACGGCUUCCUCUCCGACGUCCUCAGUGGGCCAGACCCACAAUAAAUUAAAAAUUUUCAGGUAAAGAUGCAACCCUUGGGAAGAGAACAAUCAAAUUAUCCAGGAAAGCCAACCCCACCCUUUCUAGCUGCUCCACAAUCUUCAGGUCUUGGGGUUGGCUUGGGGGCAAUAGGCGCUCCACAAACUACAUCUCCAUUUGUAUCUUCGGGGCCUUCCAUUGGCACACAACCUUCUAGCUACAGAGAUCCACAACCAUCUAUCAGGUCUAAUAUUCCAUCUUACCUGGCACAGGAUGCCAACAUUUAUCAGCAAUCACAAGCCCCAAGAUUUCUGCCAGCUGCUCAAACUUUUCCUCCCAUUAGUCAGCCAGUUAUGCUUCCUACUGGAUCUUUUCGCCCCCAGUCACAAAUUCCGGUGGUAUCAAUGGGUCCUCCACCACAAGGUGCAACCCAGUUGACAUCAAGGAGUAAUAUGCCUCAACCAUUAGAGUCAUCAUUCUCUACAUCAAUGGCUCCACCUCAACCAUCUUUACAUGGAUAUUCAAGUGUGCCCCCAAGAUCUAACAUGCCCCCAUUUCAUCCAGAUACACAGUUUCAUGCUUCUAGAUCAGUUUCACAGCCAUCAAUGCAGGCUUUUUCAUCUUCCCAUGUUGCUCCUGUACAUGGUUCUCCUUAUCAUUCUCACCAAAGUCAUGUAUCUGCACCGCCUCCAAUUCGAGGUCCUCUGGGUUUUGGUUCAAGGGAACAACUGCAGCAUCCCAUGGCAGGGCCACCUAUGGGAGGUCUCCAAGGUCUGGUUGAAGAAUUUGAAUCAUUAACUGUUGGAUCAGUACCGGGGGCUCUCGAUCCUGGGAUUGACACCAAGUUACUGCCAAGACCUCUAAAUGGUGAUGAAGAGUCAGCUAUGAUUCUGGAGAUGUAUCCACUGAAUUGCCAUCCUAGGAUCUUGCGGCUAACAACUCAUGCAAUACCAAAUUCUCAGUCAUUGCUUUCUAGGUGGCAUUUGCCUCUUGGAGCAGUAGUUCAUCCUCUAGCAGAAGCUCCCGAUAAGGAAGAGGUGCCAAUUGUCAAUUUUAGGCCAGCAGGCAUCAUUCGGUGCCGAAGAUGCAGAACAUAUGUAAAUCCAUAUGUGACAUUCACAGAUGCUGGAAGGAAGUGGAGGUGCAACCUUUGUUCUUUGCUUAAUGAUGUGCCUGGAGAGUAUUACUGUACUCUGGAUGCCAGUGGCAGAAGAAGUGAAUUGGACCAAAGACCUGAGCUAUGCAAGGGCAGUGUAGAAUUUGUUGCUUCAAUGGAAUAUAUGGUUCGGCCACCAAUGCCACCUCUCUAUUUUUUCCUUAUUGAUGUAUCAGUCCCUGCAGUUCAUUCUGGAUUGCUUGAGAUUGUGGCAAAGACCAUCAAAUCCUGUCUUGACAGUCUACCUGGCUUUCCUCGGACACAAAUUGGCUUUAUAACUUUUGACAGCACAUUGCAUUUUCAUAAUCUGAAGUCUUCUUUGGCACAACCUCAAAUGUUGGUGGUAGCCGACCUGGAUGAUGUAUUUUUGCCUCUUCCUGAUGAUAUUCUUGUUAACUUAUGUGAUUCUAGGCAUGUAGUGGAUGCAUUUCUAGAUAGCUUGCCGAUCAUGUUCGAGGGCACUGCCAAUGUAGAAUCUGCCCUCGGGCCUGCGCUUAGAGCAGCAUUCAUGGUUAUGGUACAAUGUUGUUUAGAAUCUCCACGAUGAUCUUCAUCUUUAUGGAACAGAUAAAGAGCAUACCUUAAGAUUACCUGAAGAUCCAUUUUAUAAGCAGAUGGCUGCUGAGUUUACAACGACUCAGAUUGCCGUGGACAUAUAUGUUUUCAGUGAAAAGUAUUCUGACAUUGCUUCUUUAGGAACUCUGGCCAAGUAUACUGGUGGUCAGGUGUAUCAUUAUCCAUCUUUUAAUGCUGUUAUUCACCGUGAUAAACUUGGCUAUGAGUUGGCUAGGAACCUUACAAGGGAGACUGCCUGGGAAGCUGUGAUGCGCAUAAGAUGUGGGAAAGGGGUCCGCUUUACAACCUAUCAUGGGCACUGUAUGCUAGGGUCAACGGAUUUAUUAGCCCUUCCUGCAGUGGACUGUGACAAAGCUUUUGCUAUGCAGUUAUCUUUGGAAGAAACCCUCAUGACAUCUCAGACUGUAUAUUUUCAAGUUGCCCUGUUAUAUACUUCCUCUUCAGGUGAAAGGCGCAUUAGAGUCCAUACAGCAGCUGCACCGGUGGUGGCUGAUCUUAGUGAAAUGUACCGUCGAGCAGAUACCGGAGCCAUUAUCUCUUUGUUGGGUAGGCUUGCAAUUGAAAAUUCGGUGUCUCAGAAACUUGAAGAUGCUAGACAGUCGAUGCAGUUGAAGCUUGUGAAAAGCCUUAAAGAAUAUCGAAAUCUUUAUGUUGUCCAGCAUCGGUUGGGUGGAAGACUGAUUUAUCCAGAAUCUUUGAAAUUAUUGCCGCUGUAUGUAUUGUCUCUUUGUAGGUCCACAGCCCUCCGUGGAGGGUAUGCUGAUGUUCCUCUGGAUGAACGAUGUGCUGCUGGUUACAAUAUAAUGAUACUACCUAUAGGCAGGAUGCUUAAACUUCUUUAUCCUAGCUUACUUAGGAUAGACGAGAACCUCCUGAAGAAUCAACAGGAGAUUCAAGAACCAUCAAAGCAGUUACCACUGACUGCCCAAAGUUUAGAUCCCAAAGGCAUUUACAUUUUGGAUGAUGGAUUUAAUUUCAUUAUUUGGUUAGGUCGGAUGCUUUCAUCUGAUUUAGUCAAUAAUAUACUCGGAGUUGAGUUUGCCUGCUUCCCUGAUCUAUCUAGGGUUGUAGUUUCUGAACACGACAAUGACAUAUCAAAAAAAUUAUUGAGGAUAUUGAGAACAUUGAGAGAAAAGGAUCCUUCGUCCUAUCAGUCAUGCCAUCUGGUAAAGCAGGGUGAACAGCCAAGAGAAGGCUUCAUGUUUCUUGCCAAUCUUCUCGAGGACCAGACUGCCGGAUCCAGCGGCUAUGUUGAUUGGAUUCUUCAGAUAUUUAGGCAAUCACAAAUCUCAUGAAGAGGAGGGAGGGGGGAAGUUUAAUAACAGUACUCACUCCGUUCCAUGCUGUGUUCUCUGAGUCUGAAGGUAUUUGAUCAUCCAAGGCACAAUGAAGUUUGAAUCAAAACUUUUGAAGAUCAAAUCUCACAUUCGGCCUGACUUCCUUUGGUAAUCUGUUUUCUUCUUUAUUUUACUUCUUUUUCAUCUGCUUUCCUUUUUUUCUCUUUACCUCAUCUUGAAUAGAAGUUUCUUCUGUGUCACAAUAUAUGGUUUUUUUUUUGUGGUAAAUUAUCCACCUCAUGGAUUUAGAAACAGAAUACUUGAUAUGUAUUUAUUCUUGUGACCGUAAAAUGAUAUAUUCUCCAUCAAGGUACCAUACAAAGAACACGCUGAGAUUGCAUCAUGUGUAAUGGGAAACAGAUCUCUUUUUUAGUUCUUUUACACAGUGAUGACAUCCUUUCUCUUGUCCACAAGAAGUCACCAUGAUUUCUGC